AGCCAGUCUGUCAGUGAUUGUCUUAGAACACUCAUGACCGAAGUUACGUGUAAUAUCCUUCCCAGGAGUAUGCAGCAUUCAGUUUCCUUAUGGUCGUUUUUUAUAUGCUGAUGUUACUUAGAAUUCUAGCCCAUAAAUUAUAGACUUGUUAUAUAUUUUAUUGUUCUCAAGAGAAGACUUUGGCUGGGAAGACAGCAAAGAUGAAUUUGAUUCCUAGCAGCACGUAAAAGCUGGACACAGCAGCAUGUGCCUGCUGGGGGAGAGGAGUGCAGAGCCCGAGUGAUAGAUGGCUGACCAUUCAGUCUAGCCGAGUCAAUGAGCUCCAGGUUCAUCAAGAGAACUUGUCUUAGAAAAUAAGGCAGUCUUGCUGUUUACACUGCUCUUUCCAGUGGCAUUGAUCAGAGACACAGUCUGAUCAAAACAACACAGGCAAGCAAGCUUGAUCCCAUCAGAAUGCUGUAUUUUGUUAUCCUCGUCAGCUUUAGAUGACAAGGAAAGAUCAGGAAUUUUGUGAAUCUUCUCACAGCACGUACACAUAAUCUAUAGAGAAGACCUUAAUGUUGAGUCUAGUAGUAGAAUUUUAAUAGCUGAUACUGUGUUGGGGGUAAGUAAGGUCUUACCCUGGCUUCUGUUCUUCUUGUGUUUUUUCCUAGGUUCUCAGAGACAGUAGUGCUUAACACUGGCCCUUCAUAAGGAGACUUUGUUAGAAAAUAUUGUCAGAUUUAGCUUCUUCUCUUCUCUUCUCUUCUCUUCUCUUCUCUUCUCUUCUCUUCUCUUCUCUUCUCAAUCCUGUUAUUGGGGAUAGAGCUAGGCUCUGGGCAUGUUGGGUAAACAAAUGUUCCACCACUGAGGUACAGCACCAGGCAGCAGAUUUCAUACAAAAAGAUAAUAGUAGAAAGUAGAUAGUAUUUUAAAAUUGUGAAUUAGUGUAAAGUUGGUAACAUGAGAUUUUCAGAGACAACCAUUUCUUUUCUUUAAAUCUUAAAAAAAAAUUGUUUUCAUGAAGUUAGGAUGAGGAUGGUGAGUAUGAAUAUGGAAGAGGCACAGGGUGUAUGACCGAAAUAUAUUAUAUGGAACUCGCAAAUAAUUAAUACAUAUAUUUUAAAGUUUUAUUAAAAAGGUUCUUAGCUGAAAUAUUUGCCCAUAUAGAAAAAUAAUAAUAGAAUACUAAUUAUUAAAAAUAAGGAGUUACUUCAUUUUAAAUCUUCACAGAUAGUUUUUAAAAAAUCUAAAAUUAUACAUUUCUCACUAUUAACUUUAUUUGAUACAUCAGUUAUUAUUCUUGGUAAUAAACACUUUAUGUUUUUAGUUCAUAAGACUUAUAUUUUCAGAUUUUUGCCACCUGAGGAAAGAUGUUCAUCUUUUUGUAUAAACUGCCAUUACGUAUUCCAUUAAUGUUUAUUUAAAAUUAUGAGAUUAAAUUGUAAGCUCUUCUGAAAUGGAUUUAUUGAGAUAUGAUUCAUAUACCACAUACUUCAUUUAAAGCAUAUAAUGGUGUUAGUAUAUUCACAAAUACAUGUAACCCUUGUCAUGGGCCAUUUUAGAAUAUUUUCAUUACUUCAGAAAGAAACUUCAUACCAUAUCCUCUCACCUCAGUUCCAACACACUCAGCCCUAAGAAAACAUUAAUUACUUUCUGAUCCAUAAUUAUACUAAAUUUGGGCCUCCGUAUAACAUGUAGUCUUAUGACAGGUCUCUUUUCCUUAACAUGGUGUUUACUAGGUUGAUUGAUAUUGUAGGAUGUAUUUACUUAACAUGGGGUUUACUAGGUUGAUUGAUUGAUAUUGUAGGAUGUAUUUACUUAACAUGGUGUUUACUAGGUUGACUGAUAUUGUAGGAUGUGUUUACUUAACAUGGUGUUUACUAGGUUGAUUGAUAUUGUAGGAUGUAUUUACUUAACACAGUGUUUACUAGGUUGACUGAUAUUGUAGGAUGUAUUUACUUAACACGGUGUUUACUAGGUUGACUGAUAUUGUAGGAUGUAUUUACUUAACAUGGUGUUUACUAGGUUGACUGAUAUUGUAGGAUAUAUUUACUUAACAUGGGGUUUACUAGGUUGACUGAUAUUAUAGGAUGUAUUUACUUAACAUGGGGUUUACUAGGUUGAUUGAUAUUGUAGGAUGUAUUUACUUAACAGGGUGUUUACUAGGUUGACUGAUAUUGUAGGAUGUGUUUACUAGGUUGACUGAUAUUGUAGGAUGUAUUUACUUAACAGGGUGUUUACUAGGUUGACUGAUGUAGGAUGUAUUUACUUAACAGGGUGUUUACUAGGUUGACUGAUAUUGUAGGAUGUAUUUACUUAACACGGUGUUUACUAGGUUGACUGAUAUUGUAGGAUGUAUUUACUUAACACGGUGUUUACUAGGUUGACUGAUAUUGUAGGAUGUAUUUACUUAACAUGGUGUUUACUAGGUUGAUUGAUAUUGUAGGAUGUAUUUACUUAACAUGGUGUUUACUAGGUUGAUUGAUAUUAUAGGAUGUAUUUGAAGAUGCUUUCCUAGUAAGGUUGAUUGUUUGGUAAGCUUUAGAUUUUCCAGAAGUUUUUCAGAACCCAGAGUAUACAUUAUACAACAUUCACAAUGUAUGCAUCUUGGCCUCAAAUUAAUCCAUCAAGAAAUUAUAACUCAGUUUCAGGAGAAAAACAAUAACAAAAACAACAACAACAAAAUACAACUGACAGAAAUCCUAAGAUGACAAGAUAUAAGAACUAUCAGAAAAAGACUUAACAAAGCACUUAUUUUGAUGCAAUUCAAAGUAAAGAAAAUACAUUUGAAAUGAAUGAAAUGAUAAAUAUCUCCUCAGUGAAAGGGAAGUUGUGCAAAAACAAACAAACCUAAACCUUACACAAGUAGGAUUAAUUUUUAAAAAGAUUUAUGUGUAUGAGAUUUUGCCUGCAUAUAUGUAUGUGCACCACGGUCAUGCCUGGUACCCUCUGAGACCAGAAGAGGGCAUUAGAAUCCCUGGAAGUGGAGUUAAGGAUGGUUGUGAGUCACCAUGUGGGUGCAGCUAGCAGAACUCAGGCCCACUGCAAGAGCAGCAAUGCUCUUAACCUCUGAGUCAUCUUUUCACCUUGCCUCUAUCCACCAUGGCAUCAGUAAGAGAGGAAAAUAUAGCAUUUUGAAGAAAAAUAUACUAAAGACCUUCAGGAGCAGGAAUUUGAAUAUAAGUUAAGGAAAUUAACCUCAUGCAGGAGAGAGAGGGGCAGGGUGGGCAAAAGUUUUCAUGUUGGGAAAAAUAAGGCAAAUUUAUAAAAUUAAAAUUGGUGCAAACAGUUUCAGUCCCAGAAACCAAAGCUAACACAUCAUAAUCAAAAUGUGGAGUGCAAAAGAUAAAGAAGUUCUCAAAGCUGGCUUCAUGUUUGGAGAAACAGAUGAAUGGUUUCCGGCACUUUCAAACCACAGAGGCUAGAAACAAUGCACUAGUCUUAGAUGACUGACAACAAGAAAAGUCUGUACAGAUUUCAUAUUCAAUAGCCAUUUCUUUCUAUAACUUUAGAUAUUUUACAAUGUACAAAACUCCAAAGAAUUCAUUACCCUGAUCUUUUCUUACAAGAAAUUGUCAACAACAUACUUCAGAAUUUGAGAAAAUGGUAACAGAAAGAAAUUUGGGAUUUCAGGAAGGAAAAAGUGAACAGUAAAUAGUAAAAUUGUCAGUCUGUAAACACUAUUUCCACAAUUACAUUCCUAAACACUUGUGUUCAUUUAAAGCAAAAGUUAGCUGAGGUACUCAAGGAUGAUUUUAUACCCCAUAGAGCAACUGUAGCAUAAUGGAUGGUGUGGACCAUUAAUUCCAAUAUAAUUACUGACUUUCAAAUAAAGUAAAACUGAGGAGUGGGAGAACAAGUGGCUUAGAUGGGAAAGCAAAAUAAAAAAUAAAGUUAUUAUUAAACUUUGCAUACAAAACUUUGUGCCCAAAAAUGCAUUAAAUAUUUAUGGUAUCCACAGAUAUAAUGUGAGCAAGACAGACUUGCAGGUAUAAAUAGGGCACGUAGAAAUGCUAAAGAGAUUUAGAGCAUGUUAUUACAGUGAAUUCUUUUGAAGUGGAAACUUAAGGGUUCUUUGGGAAGUCAGGUGUAUUGGAUGGUGUUUUGCUGGGGCAAACACUCAAAGGAGUGCUCUUCUAAAGUGGACACAGGUUAAAGGAUGUUUGCUAAAGCAGACAUGUGCAGGAACAUUUCACUGAAGCAGACACAGGUGAAAGGAUGUUCUGCUAAAGCAAGCAUGUGAAAGGACAAGUGAUGAAGAAUUCCUCGCUAACAACACACAUGUAUUGGUUCACCUUACCUUGCAUAGCUGAGCUCUAUUUGUUGUGACUCCAGAGAAGGAAACCCACCAAAAAAAACUUCUUGUGAGGUUCCUUAGGCUUCUUGCCACUUCUGAGGACUUGGGCUGAUUGGCAGAGUGAUGUCAGCUGAUACAGACUCAUGUGGAGUUUCGCUAAAAGACAUGUGAUGAAGCCAAGACCAGUGGAGGACACAUGAUGUUUGGAGGGAGUUAUAAAUAUGACCCAAAGGACAGUGACAGGGGCUUGCUUGCAUAGCUAGCUCACUAUGAAAUGUAAGGCGAACCUCAUGUCGCAUACAAUCUCAGGAGAGGGUACAGGUGAAUGGGGCAAGCUAGUGUAAACAAUGUACUGUUGAAUCAGGGUAGUUAGUAAAGGCAUAGAUUAGUAUGCAUCUCUGAGGGUUUCUUCUGUUAGACUGACUUUUCAAGGGACUUUUUACUGGGUAUGGACCAGGAGGUUACUGCAAAAUGACAGCUCCUUUUUCAGUUAUUACUUACAAACACUUAAUGUGACAUUUAUCACUUAGAUCUGAAAUGUGUAUAAACAUCACAAAGGAUGUCAGUCAUUAUUGCUUUGCAUAUUCAUCAGGUUAUAUUUACUGAUGAUUAAAUUCAAUCCCCUUAUCCUUUCUUCUGUUCAUUCUGUCUCCUUAUUUCCCAUACCUGGUCUUCUCCAGUUUCCUUUCCUGUAGUGGAUUUAGCUAACUUAAGGUAAGAGUGCAUAAGAUAAAUUGAUGCCAAGAUAUGAAAAGGAACAAAUACUCAUAAUUAAGACAUUAUGUUUGAGAGGCUGGUCAAGUGUGUGUGUACCCUCUUGCAGAGGACCUUAGUUCACUUCCCAGGACCCACUUUAGGUGACUGUUACCCACCUGUAAGUUCAGCUGCAGGGGAACCCCAUGUCCUCUUCUAGCCUCCAUAUUACCUACCCACACAAGACACAUGUGCAUACCUGUAACUAAAAUAAAGACUUCUAGAGAACUUUUGUUUAGAAGUCAAGAAGGACUAUUUGGAUGGCUCUGGGUAAAAGUGCUUGUCUCUGCCCUGAACUGGAUCCCUGGAAACAAUGGUUGGAGGAAAGAACUGACUGAAGAAAGCUGCCCUCUCGCUUCCACACAGACUCUAAUAAACUUAACCAGGGGAAAAACUUCCCAUUUCAACUUA